UACGUUGGUCCCGAACGUUGCGCGAAUUUACUGGGCGUAAAGGGUCCGUAGGCGGUUUAGCAAGUGGGUGGUGAAAUUUCACGGCUCAACCGUGAAACUGCCUUCCAAACUGCUAAACUUGAGGCAGGGAGAGGUCGGCGGAAUUCCCGGUGGCGCGGUGAAAUGCGUAGAUAUCGGGAGGAACACCUGUGGCGAAGGCGGCCGACUGGAACUGUCCUGACGCUGAGGGACGAAAGCUAGGGGAGCAAACCGG
rnacentral:rRNA from 1 species